UCCUUCGGGGGGGCAGCAGUGAGGAAUACCACACAAUGGCGCAGGCUGACGCAGCACGCCGCGUGAGUGAUGAAGGCCUUCGGGUCGUAAAGCCCUGUCAGGUGGGAAGAAAGGCCUGGAGAGGAAAGGUUUCAGGUUUGACGGUACCACCAGAGGAAGCACCGGCUAACUCCGUGCCAGCAGCCGCGGUAAUACGGAGGGUGCGAGCGUUAUUCGGAAUUACUGGGCGUAAAGCGCGUGUAGGCGGGGGGACAAGUCUGAUGUGAAAGCCCUGGGCUUAACCUGGGAAGCGCAUUGGAAACUGUUUUUCUUGAGUACUGGAGAGGAAGGGGGAAUUCCCGGUGUAGAGGUGAAAUUCGUAGAGAUCGGGAGGAAUACCAGUGGCGUAGGCGCCCUUCUGGACGGUAACUGACGCUGAGACGCGAAAGCGUGGGGAGCAAACAGGAUUAGAUACCCUGGUAGUCCACGCUGUAAACGAUGAUCACUAGGUGUAGCGGGUACUCAUUCCUGCUGUGCCGCAGCUAACGCGAUAAGUGUCCGCCUCGCGACUACGCGCACAAGACUAAAACUCAAAUGAAUUUUGACGGG
rnacentral:rRNA from 1 species